ACAGUGCGAGCGCAGCAUGAAUUAACUGCGCGCCCGACCAUUUUCUCUCGCUCGCCCGCUCGCCCGCGCUCACGUCCUUUCCCUUCCCAUGCUGUUCUUUGGGCGCAGCGCUUGGGUGAACUGUGUUCCUGUCGUGCGUGUCUCAGGCAGCGCAGGUGGAACAGCUGCCUAGCUCCGCACAAUCCGCCAUGUACCCUGGGCCGCGUCACGCACGUCCCCGGGCGGCCAGGCGUCUCUCUAAGGCUGGGGGAAGCAGAUUUUAGAAAGAGCCAGCUCAUUGCACAAUUCAGCUUUAAGGAUUGCAAAAUGACUACAGCCUCUAGGAUUUUUGCCUGAAACGCCGAGAGAGAGUCGCCAAUCCCUAGGCUGCGUUUUGCUGCAAGGACUCUUUCCCCGCCCCCUCCCCGGGCUGCACGGUCCUUCUGCUUCGCGAAAGUAAAGCUGCAAAGGAGCCAGAGGAAGAGAAAUUACUAAGGAAAAAGUGGUUCAGAGGUAGCUAUUCAGUUGCAUACCGAGGUGUCGGAAAUUAACUCAUCACUUUCUGACAGUCACCCAAGGGAGAGCCCUAGCUGCGGAUGGGACAUAAUUCACAGAAACUGGGCCAGAUGAGAAGAAACCAAGGCAAAGGAUUCCAGAUUCUCAGUCAGCCAGUAUCUGAACCUGUCACACUCACUCCUGUCUUCAGUUGCUGCAGGACUUGGCGUAUAGCCUGCUCCUCUCAGGGUCAAUUACCUUGUGGAAGCCUUGGAAAGCAGAGGUCACCAUUGUCCCUAUGAAGUUCGAAUCAAGGGUUCCCUUAACCCCAAGGGAGGGAUUUGACGCAGACAUUCCUUUAGAGCCAUUUUGUAGAGAAGAAAAUGGGAGUGCAAAAAGGUUCUGAUUUGCCUCCAGACACCCAGUCAAGAGCUGGAAUUCGGUUUGGUGACACAAGACUUUUUCCUUCCGGGUGACACACCAGGUUCUUUAGUGCCCACACUCUGGGUGCGCAUGAACUACAGACUCAGCCUCUCUCUCUCUCAAACAACAACCUGUGUUCUGUGGCCUCACAGAGACCUCAUUAGGGUGCAGUUCUCCAUGACGGUUGCAUGACAACAGCCUCCUAGAACAUUUUAAGAAAAGAGCAAGACUGAUGGUAGAAACACUGUCUCAUUCAGACUGUUCAGACAACAAACUUUCAGAAGCCCCCUGGGGACUGAGGCUGCUCUGGGUUGACCUUGCCAGCAGCUAAUGAAAACCAAUGGCUUACCCACCUCAACGGCAAGUGGAAACCCACUGCCUCAGGAUUGGCGAUAGGAGAACGUAUGACGUCCAGUGAGACCCUGAUGCUCUUUCAGAGUCUAUGACUAUGAAGCUAACUGGAAAGCUGGAGUUGUGUUCACCAAACUUUCUCAUUUGGCCAAUGGCCAGACUUCUUGGAAUUUGGUUGCCAGGCAUAGAGGCCAGAGGAGGAUGUCACGUGUGCUGUUCCAUCACUGUCUGCCUUUCCUCUUGAGGCGUAUCUCUUCACUGAGUCUGAAGUUGGGCUAAUGGGCACAGACGGAUCAAGGUGUGUGGUCAGCUCAUCCAAACUCUGCCCCUCCUCCCGGACCUGUGAGUCGGCGUCCUCCCUAGAAAGAUUCUUCUUAUGUGGUUGUCCCUGGCGACCUGAGCCAAAACAUUUGAAGCCAGUUUGAGCUUUUUGUUGCCUGCAAAACAUUAAAAAGUACCAGAAGUGUCUCUCCUAAUCAGAGACUGGCUAUGUGGAGGAAUAAAAACGGUGAAACUGUUUGAUUCUUCAUCUUCUUCCUGGACAUGUUCACUGACCACUUGACUAUGAAGCCCAAGCAUAGGAUUUAUUUUCUUUUUCUGGAAAAGUAAGAAAGUGGCAAAUGUAAUUUAAAAAUUUCAGAUUUUUAUGGCAACUUAUAGAUGUAUUUCUAUUAUAAUAAGUUUAUGUUCUCAUCAAGAAAGCAAUAUAACCAAAUACACUUUAAUAAUAAAUUGCAAAUUUAUUAUUAUUUAUGUAUAAUAAUAAUAAAAAUGCAAAACUAUAUGCUUUGUUUUGGGAUGGUACAC
ensembl:lncRNA